rnacentral:misc_RNA from 1 species
UCCUCCUUACAGAGGCAGUUUGUUUCGAGUUCCCGGCAUGACCCGCUGGUAACAAAACAUGAGGGUUGCGCUCGUUGCGGGACUUAACCCAACAUUUCACAACACGAGCUGACGACAGCCAUGCACCACCUGUGCUACACCCUCGAAGGCGACUGCUUUUCGGCAGCUUGCAGUAGCAUGUCAAGCCCUGGUAAGGUGGGGAUGACGUAGCUAAGCCUUC